rnacentral:rRNA from 1 species
GACGAACGCUGGCGGCGUGCCUAACACAUGCAAGUCGAACGAGAAUCUUUUAUCUGAUCCUUCGGGUGACGAUUUAAGAGGAAAGUGGCGGACGGGUGAGUAACGCGUGAGCAACCUGCCCUUGAGAGAGGGAUAGCUUAGGGAAACUUAAGGUAAUACCUCAUGACACAUAUUUCUCGCAUGGGAGAUAUGUCAAAGAUUUAUCGCCCUNAAGGAUGGGCUCGCGUCCGAUUAGGUAGUUGGUGGGGUAACGGCCUACCAAGCCGACGAUCGGUAGCCGGACUGAGAGGUUGAACGGCCACAUUGGGACUGAGACACGGCCCAGACUCCUACGGGAGGCAGCAGUGGGGAAUAUUGCGCAAUGGGGGAAACCCUGACGCAGCAACGCCGCGUGAAGGAUGACGGUUUUCGGAUUGUAAAACUUCAACAAUCAGGGACGAAGAAAGUGACGGUACCUGACUGAAGCCACGGCUAACUACGUG